GAAGACUUGAUUGGAUCCAAAUUUCAAAUGGCUUCUUACUUGGCUGGUAGCUGAUACUAAUUCUACUGAGAAUUUAACUGGAGCAAUGAACUGAGAAGCCUUCCCAGAUAUAAUCACUGGUGCUGUGAUAUGGGUUGUGCAACCAUGAAGAAAUUUUGAUGAUGGAUGGUGGAGCCAAAAAGAUAAGAACCUGAGUACUAUUGAUAUUGUGGCACAUUUAUGCACAGUAUGGUGGACAGUUUCCAGACAUCUGACAUAGUCCCACUUCAAAAACCUCCAGAAUUUCUCCAGUGCCAUGGACCCUUAUCCAGUUCAGGUUCUCGCUUUGUUGAUUAAGGCCUGCCAACUUGCUGAGGCUGCCCUGGAAUUUGCAAUCCUCCCACCUCAGCGUCCUGAGUCGCUGAGAUUACAGGAGCUAGUCUUUGAUUAUUAGUAGAUGCCUUCUCCAUUUUGGAUGACCUGUUUCACCAGUAG